GUGCUUGCUUUGGCAUCACAUUUAAUAAAAUUAGAGCUACACAGAGAGUAUUAGCGUGGCCCCUCCACUAGGAUGACACACAAAUACAUGAGACAUUGGUAUUUUGU
ensembl:snRNA U6 U6 spliceosomal RNA